AAUCCAUGCAUUGGGCAUUUGCGUAGAAAGUCCUUGAAACGAUCCCAAGCUUCAUAUAGGUUCUCAUCCUCUAAUUACUUGAAUGAUGUGAGACCUUUCCUCAACUU